rnacentral:rRNA from 1 species
GACAGAGGGUGCGAGCGUUGUUCGGAAUUACUGGGCGUAAAGCGCGCGCAGGCGGAUCCUGUAAGUCGGAAGUGAAAUGUCAGUGCUCAACGCUGGCGCUGCUUCCGAUACUGCGGAUCUGGGGGACCGGUAGAGGCCGGUGGAAUUGCAGGUGUAGCGGUGGAAUGCGUAGAGAUCUGCAAAGAACACCCCGUGGCGAAGGCGGCCGGCUGGGGCCGGAUCCGACGCUGAGGGCGCGAAAAGCGUGGGGGGAGCAAA